AUGCAGGCCACAAGGCAGGGAAGUAAGAUCCGACUUUUUGUGCCUUUAACGCGAUCUCAGAUUUUCAAACACUUCUUCGGAACUGCCCGGUAUUACCUGGUUGAAAAUGCUGGAAUCAUAAAAAUGCAAAUAAAAUUUAGCAUGACUUCCCCUGUCGUCAUCACACGCCUCCCUCCAUCUCUCUCCCGACCCAAAGAAGAUUACGUCCUAAGAUUACCAACCCUCAUCGCCCGACACGCUAGUCACUGCGUGUUAUUUGAGGAAUCACGUCGGACUUCCACACGAGGCAGGGACGGGUUCGCGUCGCCUGAAGUAAACAGGAAAAGCCCCCCAGUCCCGAGGAAACAGAACGAGCUCCAGGAAAGCCGCACAGGUUACUCACUGAGGAAGAAGGAAGCGCAACUCCAGACCUCUCCCCAGCUGGGAAAAAAAACCUAUGCAGAGCGAGAUCCCCGUCCCCGCCCACUAGUUCUAACUUUUUUUUUUUUUUUUUUAAGAUUUAUCUCCUCUACCCCACCCCAACCUUGCUUCCUCCAGAAAGUAGGCGGUCUUCACUUCUUCCCCCUCCGGGGAAACCAAGCAGAGAGGAGAAGAAAGCAGACAAGACAAGGGAGACAUCGGGGCCACAAGCAGCGCGCGCCGCGCGGGCAGCUCUCGCAGUUCCCGCGCGCACGGCUCCGCCCCCCUGGGCUGCUGGGGGNNGGGGGGGGGGGGACACACAGCAAGGCUGGUUCGCCUGGCGGUGGGCGCGCGACCUGCUCCGGGACUGUCUCGCUUGCGCGCGAAACGCGAAACUCACACUCCCUUACCUUCACUUUUGCCUUUCUUCUUCUCUCAGCCAGAAGUUCUCGUGGCACUUGGGUAGAGGCGGCGGCGGCGGCGGCUUCCUAUGUUGUGGUCCCUUGUUGCCGCCCGCUCGCGCUCUCUCCAGGCCGUGUGGCCUCCCUCUCUGCUUCCUUUUCUCUCGCUCGCUUCUCUUUCGUCUUCCUCACACCCCUGACACGGGACGGAGGAGGAGCCGCUAGGGCAGGCGGGCGGGGAGGAGUUCCAAAAAGUCCCGUUGAGUUUGCAACGUGGUUGAGAGGGACCGGGAUGUGUCAGCGGCUUGUUGCCAGCAGCUAAACCGGGGGAGGGAAGGCGGGUAAGAAGAGAGGAGCGUAAACAGUUUGUUUUUCCUCCCCGCUGGGGGACCGACGAGCGAGGUCUUGCCUUGACCCCCGCAGUGGGGCUUCAUUUGAGCCUGGAUAUGCCCUAUAAUCCCUGUCGCGAUGGAGAAACCAAAUUGAAAAGGCUCUUGCGAGAAUUCUUACCUAAGUUUUAAUCCAGCUUCAUCCACCUUCGGAGUGGAAGAACACAUCAGCAAAGUGACUAGUCUUUUUUUUUCUUUUUACCUGAUCUAACCUAAAUGUGGGUUUUCUGAGUUAGAUAAUGCCGGAAGAAAACAGCUUGUCGCUUUGCAGAUGUGUUAUCGCACUCUGAAAGUGGACCAAGCUAGAAUGAAAUGUGGGUGUGAACGCAGCAUCAGCGCGGCUAGACUGUUGGGCUGGGAGCUGUGAAGCCAAGGCUUCAGAUCCCCCCACUUGAGCAGGAGCUCUGCUUGGGUGGCUUUUGCGAGCAGCUGCUUCAUAGGGUGGUUGCCGAGGAUAAAGGGCAGAGAAGGAAGAAUGAAAGCUGAACGGUUUAGAAGAAAAGUUGGGUAUAGGCACAAGCUGUGCAGGGAAAGAAGUAUAGGAGCGGCUUUCUCAUAUGAGAGCGUUCUGCCUUUUCCCGUCUUUAUCCUCACAAGAACCGUGUUGGGCAGUUUAGGCUCAGUGGCUGAUGCAAGCUCUUUCAGCU
rnacentral:lncRNA from 1 species